rnacentral:rRNA from 1 species
UCGAGCGGAUGACAGGAGCUUGCUCCUGAAUUCAGCGGCGGACGGGUGAGUAAUGCCUAGGAAUCUGCCUGGUAGUGGGGGACAACGUUUCGAAAGGAACGCUAAUACCGCAUACGUCCUACGGGAGAAAGCAGGGGACCUUCGGGCCUUGCGCUAUCAGAUGAGCCUAGGUCGGAUUAGCUAGUUGGUGAGGUAAUGGCUCACCAAGGCGACGAUCCGUAACUGGUCUGAGAGGAUGAUCAGUCACACUGGAACUGAGACACGGUCCAGACUCCUACGGGAGGCAGCAGUGGGGAAUAUUGGACAAUGGGCGAAAGCCUGAUCCAGCCAUGCCGCGUGUGUGAAGAAGGUCUUCGGAUUGUAAAGCACUUUAAGUUGGGAGGAAGGGCAUUAACCUAAUACGUUAGUGUUUUGACGUUACCGACAGAAUAAGCACCGGCUAACUCUGUGCCAGCAGCCGCGGUAAUACAGAGGGUGCAAGCGUUAAUCGGAAUUACUGGGCGUAAAGCGCGCGUAGGUGGUUUGUUAAGUUGGAUGUGAAAGCCCCGGGCUCAACCUGGGAACUGCAUUCAAAACUGACAAGCUAGAGUAUGGUAGAGGGUGGUGGAA